UAUCCUGUCUGAAUAUGGGGGGACCAUCCUCCAAGGCUAAAUACUCCUGACUGACCGAUAGUGAACCAGUACCGUGAGGGAAAGGCGAAAAGAACCCCGGCGAGGGGAGUGAAAAAGAACCUGAAACCGUGUACGUACAAGCAGUGGGAGCACAGAGCAAUCUGUGUGACUGCGUACCUUUUGUAUAAUGGGUCAGCGACUUAUAUUCUGUAGCAAGGUUAACCGAAUAGGGGAGCCGAAGGGAAACCGAGUCUUAACUGGGCGUUAAGUUGCAGGGUAUAGACCCGAAACCCGGUGAUCUAGCCAUGGGCAGGUUGAAGGUUGGGUAACACUAACUGGAGGACCGAACCGACUAAUGUUGAAAAAUUAGCGGAUGACUUGUGGCUGGGGGUGAAAGGCCAAUCAAACCGGGAGAUAGCUGGUUCUCCCCGAAAGCUAUUUAGGUAGCGCCUCGUGAAUUCAUCUCCGGGGGUAGAGCACUGUUUCGGCAAGGGGGUCAUCCCGACUUACCAACCCGAUGCAAACUGCGAAUACCGGAGAAUGUUAUCACGGGAGACACACGGCGGGUGCUAACGUCCGUCGUGAAGAGGGAAACAACCCAGACCGCCAGCUAAGGUCCCAAAGUCAUGGUUAAGUGGGAAACGAUGUGGGAAGGCCCAGACAGCCAGGAUGUUGGCUUAGAAGCAGCCAUCAUUUAAAGAAAGCGUAAUAGCUCACUGGUCGAGUCGGCCUGCGCGGAAGAUGUAACGGGGCUAAACCAUGCACCGAAGCUGCGGCAGCGACGCUGAUGCGUUGUUGGGUAGGGGAGCGUUCUGUAAGCCUGUGAAGG
rnacentral:rRNA from 1 species